UUAUUUCAAUUUGAAAUGGAUAUAAUAAUUUUGUUUUAAAUUAGAACCUACAGUAAAAGAGAAAUAAUUACCAUGCUUUAAAUUAAGAAAUUCGUUUAUUGAACACAGGUACCUACGAAUACCUUUUGUCAGUCGCAAAAUAAUGGUUAGGUAUUGCACAAAAUGUUUCAAAGUAAUAAUUAUAUUAUUUCGAUUCACUUCCGAAGAAAAAGUGUAAGCUUUAUUAUGAGCAAAGUGAGGCAUACUAUAUUGAUUUUACUAUAAUGUAUGCUUAUUUGUUUUUAUUUUUUGUGUCUG